ensembl:ncRNA asRNA:CR46473 antisense RNA:CR46473
UACAUCUUUUUGAAACUUACAACCAAAUCUUUUGAAGCCAACUAAUUGUUAUUUCAAAUUCCUGGCUAUUAUGCAAAUAUUCUUCGUAUUUUCACUAUUCUAGAUAUUUGUUGUUUACUCAGCAUUUACAAUAAGUGGCCUUUUACUAAACGCGAUAAACAAAAAUAUGUUUUUCGCUCUAACCUUGCCAUUGCAUCAUAAACAGUCACCGAUUUCUCGCAGGCUAGUCGGUCGUUUAGUCGGUUAGUCGGUGGAUAAGUCAGCUGGUCAGUCGGUGGAGCGAGCCUCCUGCUCACCUCGUUUGGAGCAGGUUUUCUUGAACUUCUUUUUUCUGGCCACUCGCAGUCACACAGCUGGUCACGCCCCCUCUUCCAAUGUGGAUAACCAAGUUGCUGGCUGUGACAAUUCCGAUCAUUGUGUAAUUUCUUAAGCAUCUUGGUGGAUAUCUCUUUUUAUAUUAUAUAUAUGAAAUUCAAGCCAAAACCUUUCAGGUUUUUCUGCCUAACAAUAUAGAACAGAAAACCAAGAUAAAUCGAACGUUUCGCUGGCUGAUCGAGUAAGCGAUCAAAUUACACUUUUUUUCGCUCAGUGAUUUCUCGUAAGAGUAUACGAUAGAAAGAAAAAAAACAAAGUAAGCAUUUCUAGAAUAUGUACAGACAAUUUUAUUUGCAUUAUUAUGUUCGCCCACGAUAUUGUACCACUGCAACAUAUGCAUACUUAAACUAAACUCUCUAAGUCCUGAUGUACAAAAAAAAAAAAAAUGGUUACAUAAAUAAUAAGUCAAGAAUUCAAGUUCCGAUUGAUGUACACGAAUGGGGGAAUAUAUGUAUAAUACUGCGACUGCGACCACGCCUACUUGCGCUUGAACAUGUUGCUGAGGCGUCGCUUGGGCGGCGAGUUCUGUAAAGGAAUAAGUGAACAUGAUUACACAUAACGAACAUACAUAUAUCAUCAUCAUAGAUCAUCAGCAAGAUUUGUGCGUUUCCCAUUGCUUUCGUUGCCGCUUCUAAUUGCGUCCGGGGCACGAAUAGGUGAGAAAGACGAGCCCCAUUCCCGACAAGAUGCCAGUGAUCACCAGCACUAGCUUGUCCGCCAGAUGCAAGGACAGCCCCACCAUGACCAGCAAUGCAAAGCCCAUGACCAAUCGCUGGCCAAGACUCAGAUGGCGUAGGAACCGCCUGCACUGAGCCAUUAACGAGCGGUGGCGCGUUGGCCUGCGCUGUUGCAAGUCCGAUGGUUGCUGGACAUAGGUGAUAUUGAUCUGCGGCAGCGGCUGCAUGUGCACACUGCCGAUCGAAUAGACUGUACAAGAUGAGGCGCCGGUCAUGUUGGUGGCACAGCUAGUCGUAGUGAUAUUACUGCAAGAGGCGGCCACCAGUUGUGUGAAUUUCGGCUCAACUUGCUCCUCAUCAAGCGGCUUGUAGUCCAGCGGCUGCAGCUGAAAGGGUGCCGUGGAUUCCGUCUCCUUGCACAGCUGCUCGAAGUACCAGUCGUUCUGGGUCUCCUCCAUCAUCACACUUUCGCCACCAUGCAUUGCCCAGGUGACACAGUUUUCGUGCUCAAAUUGUUGCUGCAGCAGCGAAGUCUCGCUGCGCUCCUCCACGUUGAAUGUGGUGGACACGACCGGACUCAAUCGCCUCUUGCCCACCAGCACUACCGUCUUGCCCAUCACGUUAUUCUCGCUGGGCAGGUGCUCCUCCUCGUUGCGAUUGUGUAGACUGUAAUUGUUAUUUUCGGGCGACUUGGCCGCCUGAGCAGAGUGUGAUAGGCGCAUCUGAUCCAGGUGACGGGCCUCAUCGAAGCGUCCCAUUAUCCGAUCACGGCGCAACUUCCGGCGUAGCUGCACCCUUUUCCCGGCUACGAACGACGCUGGCCGGCUCUUGGCAAAAAUGUUGCCAUGAAGGGACAGCGAAACGCGUCCUUUUUUCGACUUAGUUGUGCCAGUGAGACGCCGGGUAUUGCCUUUGGUCAGGGCCAGCAAUGCUGCAGUGGACAGAUGCGGAGUGCCCUGUUGGUCGGCGUCUUCUAGAGGCUCCAACUCUGGCACAGCAUCGGGCUCCACUUCGAUCACUUCGUCUUCGGUUUCAACAGCCUCUGAUUUGUCCGCAUCACUGGCGCCGAUCAUACGCUGCUGAUCGUAGUAGGAGCGGCUUUUGCGUGGCGUUGAUGUACAAAAUAUGUCCACCGCAUGGCGCAGCCUACGCCGGUGUAUUCCGGUCAGAAGAUUCGGCCGCUUGCGCCGCGGCAGCUGUGGGAUAGGCUAGGCGUAUUUGGUCAGUUGCCGGCUGCACUCGAGCCACAAGCGAAGACAACACGAGAACACCACGAGGACGAAGACACAAACAUGGACGAAGCACGAAAGCAAGCAACUAUGGCACAUUUGACGUUCCCAAUAAACUACAGCUUUUGACUACUCUAUUGACCAAUGACACUGAACUAUGGCACGCACAUCAAACAUAACAAUCUUCCCAAUACUUACCUCGUCCCGGGGUAAACCGCUGCUGCCAACGCUGAAUCGCUGCGUCAGGAACUUGAAGCGCGCCGGCGUCUUGGAGGUAUUGUUAUGGUCGCCGAAUUCACGCAAAAUCUCGCGUGGCGGCUCCGAGCUACCGAAUGACAAACGGCCGCCGUUCUUGCUCGGCGUGGGCGGUCCAGGUCGUUUGUAGUGGGUGCCCAUGGAUUUCUUGCGCGUUCCGGUGCUCGAAGAGCUCAGCAAAGCACUCAUGCUGUCAUCCAGACUGUGGGGUCCGUCCUGCAAAGAAUACAAACAGUAUAAAUAAGAAUUGCAGAACUGAAGACAACGAAAUUUUUGGACGGCAACUGGAUUAUUGUGACACAAAAAUAUAUAUACAACAAGGCACUGAUAAGACGAGCACACAGCAAUUUCUAGACACAACAGACACUUCUAACUACAAACGUAACGUGGACAAAAGCUCACUCGGUGUCUAGUUAGGGAUUAAGAUUAAUGGUUCUAUGGGCGACGCAAAAUGCGUGCCCACUUAGCCUUCAUGGCUGCCUGCUGUGCCUUUAACGGUGUGGUAUUUGUGCCGUGUCUGUUGCUGUUGCUGCUGCUGCUGCUGCUGCCACUACUGCCGGCGUAUCUGGCACUGGAUGUCGGAGAACUGCUAACGCUUACUUUGAGAUCUUCGUCCUGGCUGCCCAAAUCAUAUUGGGCAGCAUAAGUGCUCUUCAAAUGCGGCGGUUGCAACGAAUUCCGAUAAAUCAGCUCCUCGGCUCUGCAUGGAGAAAAAAAGGGUACAUUAAUUUUGAGCAUAGAAAUCGGGAAGACCCAGUGCGCUUACGUCAUGUCUGCCGGCACACGGCCCAAUUUGAGAUCCGUCAGGUAAGUGUUGUUAAAUACCUCGCCCUCUUCAUCUUCCAUAGCCAGAUUGGAGGACGGUACAUUGGGCCGCUUGAAGGGCUGCCAGUCAUCGUUCGGCGCCGACGAACUGGACGAAACGGUGAGCGUUGUGCUGGAUGGUUUCGUUUCGCUGAUGGGCUGCAUCUGCAGGUGACGCAGAUUGGUGCUAAUGAUCGCAUGCUGCUUCUGCUGCUCCAGAAUCUUCUCGUUCAACCGUACAAUCUGAUUGGAUAGCUUGCGUGUAUGCUCUUCGUAUUUGGCAUUCUGCAAGUAAAUGGAAUUAAUAACGUAACUUCGCAAGCAGCGAGCAUAUCUAUCUACCUGUGCGGUGAGUGCCUCCAGCUCCGACGCGCUUUUGGCCGCAUCCCGUUCCUGCUUCUCCUUCAUGCGCGUCACCUCCGCCGUAUACAAGGAACGCUACAGAUGGAUGAUGUUGUGUCAAGUGUCCGUGUGCGUGUGGGUGAACGUGGACGAGUUAGGGCAGUGUAUAUAGUCAAGUGAAGGUGCGCGUGUGGAUUUCGGGCGGCACGCAUUUUUAAAGGACGAAAAUGAGCGAGAAACAGCAGUGAGGACAUUGACGACAAUACAAACAAUAAUAAUAAAAAAACAACAAAAAAAACAUUCUUGGAAAUACAAAUCGCUCAUUUAUCAAAUAUGACUUAGUACAUAUCACAAAAUGUAAAAAACUUAUAACAAAGUCUACCACGUCAUGUGUGGCCCUAAUACACGAUAGGACUGCGCGACUUAAAGAUUACAUUGAUGCCACUUAUGUACAGGAUGUAAUACAAAAAAAAAACGAUUAAAAUAAUUAGGCCAAUAAAAAGCAGCAUUAAUUGCGGCCAUCGCCGACGGCGUGACCCCUUCUUGGGUUAUAUAUACAGUUUUCGGACCGACCGCAAUUGUGAUUUUAAAUGGGUGAUUUUCGUGGAAAGAUAUUGGGUGGAAAUAGAAAGGAAAGAUAAAGCAUUUUUAGUUUUAUUGAUAAGGAAAAGUGAAUUAAAUAAAUCUAGUUAGCUGCAAUCGCUAAAGCAAAUUUGGAAAUCUAACUAGAAUCUGCUUGGGUUCAGUAAUUGAUGAUGCAGCACGAUUAUGGCUAAUGUGAUUGAUGUGAUUGAUGCAAUUGCUAAAUGAAAUUUUAAUUAAACUUAUGUAUAACAUCUCCUCCUUCUGAAACGUAUGCAUUUUCGCAUUUUCAAACGGAUAAGAUUGAAAAUUCACUAUACAUAUAGUUUGAAUACCUGAUAAUGCACUGUGAGUCAUUUCGAGGAGCUUAAGUUUAAUAGUUUACACUGAACAUAUAACAUCAGCUACGUCCCAUUUCAAAACUAGUUAGUAGUUAAACGAAACAAUGACAUAAACAUGCAAAAGCAAAAGCAAAAAAAAAAUGGCAUGGUGCUAAAAUAGGAUGACAUCUUUAGGUUUUGUCCUCCGCAGACAGCCAAGUAAAAAAUGGAGACACCAAUUUGUACUUGGUGGCACAAAUCAUGCGAUUAAGGAUAACAGUGACAACUCGCGACCAUGCCAUUUAAUGGAAACCAGUAGUUUUCCGUUUUUGGAAUCUCGUUCUAGUAGUUCGCAGCGACUUACCAUCUUGUUUUUCAUCUUCUCCAGCUUUCCCUCCAUCUCAAGACGCUGGUCCUUUAUCUUCUUCUCGCAGCGCUUAAUCUCAUCCUUGGCAUCGCGAUACUUGGCCUGCAAUAUCUUGCAGUCUAGCGCUAGCUUUUGGUAUCUCUCCUUAUCCUGAUCCGACUCCGUUUGGCGUCCUUCAGCCGCGCUAUAUGUGUCGCCAAGAUCUCUUACGCCCUCCGCCUGGUUAGACUGGAUGGAAUUUAGUUCUUCCAACUCUUGGUUGGAAGCGAGAAGCAGCCGUUCAAGAGCUUCCACGCGAUUCCUAUAGAAUUCGAUGAGUUCACACAACUCGGCAUUUUUAUUCCCAACUUCACGAGCCGUCUCCUCCAUCCUUAGUAUCUGGGCGCCAUGCUCGAGCCGAGCGUUGUCCAACUCCCGGGUAAUUUCGUCUAAACGUCCGGUGACCACAGCCAGUUUAUUCUGGGCCUCUUCACGCUCGGCAGUCUCCGCUUCCAAGCGAUGCUGCAGUUCGACUACCUUAGGUAUAUCGGUGAUCUGGGCUAGUUGGUCCUUGACCUGGUUAUGCUCGGCGAUUUCAGUCAUUAGGCGACUCUGAACGAAAUCCAACUUACUGACUUUCUCUGCCAGCUUUCGGUUAAGAUCUUCUACCAACGAGUUGUGGGUAGCCAUCUCGGAUUUUAGCUGAUGAUGCAAGCACUCGACCUUAAAAGUUUCCACUUGCAAUUGACUUGACUUGACGUUGUCUUUUUCUUGGCAACGGUUCUCCAACUUAUUGAUCUGUUCGUAAGCAGUCGCACGCUCCUCUUCCAUCUGAGUACAGCGCAUCUCCAAUGUUUCGAUUAUGUCUUCAAGGGUGGCCAAUUUCACCUCGAACUCACGCUUUUCCUUCACCAAUCGCUCCUUGACCAGGAAAACCUCUCGCUGUGCAUCUUCCUUUUGAAGCUUCAAGUCAUCUGAUAGUUUGGUCUGUGCCUCGAAGGCCGAAUUAACCUUAGCCAGUUCUUUCCGUUCCUUCUCCAGCUCCACUUUCAGGUUAUCUACAAGCUGCUGGGCAGAUUCCUUUUGACG